AGCGGGUUUUCCCACCCUGUUUGACAUUAGAAUUUCAAUCGGUGAGUCGGCUUUGGCCAAUCCGACAUUGGCCAAACGAUUCGUCGAGGUAGCUCAUCUCUCGACAAACAGGGAGAGUAGAAAAGAUCAGACAGUGUCCAAAAUAUUUUCUUCUUUCUACUCGACGAUGCUUGGCAUAAGUUAUCGAUACUUUUUCUUUUUUGAUCUGACUUGACUUGUCCUU
rnacentral:lncRNA from 1 species